rnacentral:tRNA from 1 species
GCCGGCAUAGCUCAGCAGGUAGAGCAACUGACUUGUAAUCAGUAGGUCCCGCGUUCGAUUCGUGGUGCCGGCACCA